rfam:Ciona savignyi cont_28723, whole genome shotgun sequence.
GGUCCUGUGGCCCAAUGAAUAAGGCGCCUGACUACGAAUCAGGAGAUUCCAGGUUCGAGUCCUGGCAGGAUCG